rnacentral:lncRNA from 1 species
UCUUAUAUAUAAUUUCAGUUCUAGUUACAUUUCAGAUUUUCUUUAUGCUGUACUACUAAACUGUGUGUUCUAAACCAAAGAUGACAUCUGCGUCUUUUUAUGCAUGCAUGUUUCAAGACAAUAUAUCUAAUAUGUAGUAUAUAGAAAGGUACCUAAAAUAUUAGCUUAUAUUGCCAACUCUUGAAAAUAUACGAUCCUUUUACAUUUUUUGCCGUGAACCUGGGGAGCUUGGAACGGAGUAUGGUGUCAAUAAUCAGUAUAUACCAGGAUAAUAUUUCAACAAUGACGUUGCUUGCCUCAAUACUUCCUUCACCACCAAUCUAGCCGCAAACUCUGUUUCUCCUUGAAUGUAGGUCCACAAAGGUUGUGCUUUCUGUGCAUCUAAAAGUAAGGUUACUAUCAUAAUUACAGUAAAGUUUCUUCUCUAUUCAAAUUGAAUUUGAUAAGCAACAAAGUCCUCUGUGUCAUGCUUCAGUUAUAUGGCUCGAGCUGGCCAAACCUGAAAUGUUCGGUGAAGAUCCAAAGUACAUCUAGAUUACUUUGUGUUGCCCACAAUCCUAUUACUUGAUUUUUUUUGCUAACUAUCUCUAUGGAUAAAUCUGCAAGAUGAUGCAAAAAAGUUGCAUGCAGAUAGGCUGUGUACAAACAUGCAUGGUGUAAGUUUAUACCAAUUUUACAAUAUUGAGAUUUGUUCAGAUGCUUCUAAGCAGUGCUCUAGCAGAACGGUGCUACAUUUCCUUACUGUUGUUGCCAAAUAUUUGUAUUGUGGCAUAUUAGGACUGGACAGCAUCAUUCUAACGACCUCACCCUAGGAGUCCACUUCUACACGGUCAUGGCAUCCGCCUCCACCAAUUAUCUAGAGGUAAUUGAUUUGGUGCCUCCGUUGGAUGAAGAUGCUCUAUUAUGUGUGGUUUAGUCGCACGUGGUUCAUGCAAGCUGCCCUUAAGUUCUUAUUGUCAUUGGAUAGAGCUGAGAAAAAUCUAUUUAUGCUUACAAUUUUGUGUGCCUUUUUCUAGCAGUUAAGUUCUAGAGACGAUCGGGGAGGUCAACUUUGAGAUGCAGCACUCUAUGUGUUCACGCAAUCGGAACGCCCGAAAUAUCACGCCAAUAUGAGGGACGCCCGAAAUAUCAAGCCAAUAUGUGAUUUAUGCCUUUUCUGUUAGGUAUGUGAUCAUUGAUUCAUAGGAUUAGUUGGUACUUAGGAACAUGCAAACCCCUGUUUUCCAUCAUAAUCCAGAAGGUCCAAAUUUUAAAUAUGGAUGUUAAGCUAAUGAGGAGAACCUUUUUGGCUUGGACAUCAUAUUUUUUUAGGUAGGUGAUCAUUAGUUCAUUAUGAUUAGUUGAUAUUUCUAAACAGGGGAAGCCAUGGUGUCCACAAGGCUCAAGCAAGUCGGAUUUCUGAUAUGGAUUUUAAAUGAUCAAGACAACCUAAGUGGCUCUUUGCUUGGCCACCAUUGCCAAUAUUUAUGGAGCAGUUUUCAAAUAUGCAAAUGUCCAACCCAUUAAAACAUCCUCUUAGGUUCAUACGCAUAAGCAACUGCUGGUAUUUUGUGAGAGUGCAUUUUAAAACGAUUUGCAAAACUUCUGACGAGGAUAAUCAUAAAAUGCACAAAGCGUUUUAAAUUAUUUUUCCAAUUUUGUAAAUACUGAAUCAAAAUAUCGAAUAAAUAUUUUUUAGGUUCAUUAAUAAAGAUAGAGUGGCAGUGACAACUAUUAGAUGUUCCAUAUCUAUAUUAGCUUUCCCUAAAUAUAAAAUACUAAAAAGGUCUGAGUGGUGAGUGCUACUUCAUUGGUAUUUUAAUGUGUCUUCACAUUAUAAAAUACAACUGAUGGUCUUGCAGGAUUAUCUCCCUUCUCCACAGAUAAAUUGCUUGAUGUGUUCAAUGGUCCUGUUGAAUUGGAUACAAGCAUGCUACAAAUCUAACAGUAAUUUAAUAAGGUAUUUGAUGAGCUCCUGUCAUUCUAAUCUACUUCUCACAUUUUAGUGUUGAUGUUAUUUAGUACUCUGUAGUUAGCAUAAGAAAUAGUACUAUGGGAAGAACCAGGCAACACCUAAUAUGUGUGUCGUUUGAGAAAACUGAAACUUCCUACUUUCCAACUGUUGAUUGCACAUGUACAUGUAUAAAAGACACUAUCUAAGAAAAAUAUAUGAUUCACUAGGUUUAGUGAAAGUUAGCUUAAAUACCAUGUAUUUUUCUGCACACAGAUUAUUGCCUACUGUAGAUCAUCCUCUGUACAUCUGUUAGUCUAAUAGUCAAGAAGGACGAAAAACUUCACUCCAGUAAUGCCUUUGCUCCAUAAGAGCUAACAAUUGUUAAAAAAACAAAUCAAAGACUAAUGAUUUCAUUUGUUUGCAGGAAUAGGCACUGUAUUUUUCACUAUUAUGCAAAAACAACUUUAAGUCAUGAUUUUUUAAAAUAUUUUUUUCAUGAAAGAUCUCGAGGGUGAGAAAAUUAUCAUCAUAUUCAGAAGAAUAUUAGCUUGAGUACCAUAUAGAGGGUGAAAAAAGUGGGGCUCUUACGUCAAUUUUCUUAUUCAGGUGGUACACUACGUGUAGCAAACUCAUUCAUUGUAAAGAAAUGAAUGGUAUCGUUUAUCAUGCCAUGGAAGUAUGGUUUGAAGUUGCCUUACUCUUAGGACUUUUUUCAACAUCUAUGAGCUAACUAGCAAAAUUAUGGCAACUGCAGUCACAUCAGGCAUAAUAACGUGUAGGGCCAUCACCUAGCUCCAUAAAUCUUAAUCUCAUUUUCAGUGAUUGUUGUUUUGCUAUCUUAGUCAUUGAUGAUGAAGGAAUGUAGAAACCACAUGUUGGGUACAAUAUUUAACCAUACAAUUUCUGCUAGAAGCCAUCAUAAUCCACUCCUCCCCCCUAUUUUUCUUACAGCAAACCUAUAGAUAUCAACUAACCACAAGCUUAGCAUGUGGUAUAUUGCAUAAAUAUCUAGCUUAUGGAAAGCCUGGUAAGUGGAGCAAUGGAGCAAUGGAGCGCCUUCUAACUAGCAGUGCCCACUUCACUGUUUUGUACAUAGAUGAGAAGUUUCCUUGCUGCCACUCAUCUAAUAUUAUAUGUUUCUGUUCCAUGUGGAACUAAGAGUUCACAUCUCUAGCUUCUACUGCUUUAUUGUUGUACACAGAAGCUUUUGUAACCUGCCACCACAUUUGUAGGCAGGUUUCAAUAAAAGUAUUAGAUUACAAUUUUCCACAUUAAUCCAGUAUUCAGUAACGGGUUUUUGGUUCUAUUUCUAUUGCAAACCAGUUCAUUCUUCGCAAACAAGAAACUCUACAUGCUGUGGAGAACCACUUCUACAACAGAUUAGGUUACUUGGUGGGAAGAAAUUGGCAUGGGCCACAACUCAGUCUGUCUCACAUGAGUUUACACUAUUACAAAAAAUUACUACAGGUGUAGAACAAGCCAGCUGGAAUUUCGCGUCUUGACUAUCUGUCAUAUUUUAUAACUAUCAUACUUUGUUGUGCUUAUAACGGGGGAUAGAUUCUGAGAUGUACUACUACUGAUGUGACCAAGGAUGUCCAGUUUCUUUACAUGAUAUUGAGUACUGCAACUUCAAGGCUUCUUCAACUCAUGUAUGCUUAAUUCAUUUUUUGGAAUUUAAUUAUAAUAAAAAGAUGUUCUUCAAUAUAAA